rnacentral:lncRNA from 10 species
GAGGUUGCAGUGAGCCGACAUCACGCCACUGCACUCCAGCCUGGGCGACAAGAGCGAAACUCUGUAGAAAGACAGAAAAGAAAGAAAGAAAGAAAGAAAAAAGGAAGGAAGGAAGGGAGAAAGGAAGAGAGAAAGAGAGAAAGGAAGGGAGGAAGGAAGGAAGGAAGGAGGGGGGGAGGGAAGGAAGGAAGGAAGGAAAGAGGAAAAGAGGGAAGGAGGGAAGGAGGGAAGGAAGGGAGGAAGGGGAGAGAAAGAGAAAAACAGCCCCACCUCCCUUGGCCCUAGUUCUGUUCCCUAAACAUAACUAUAAGGCUUUCUACUAUUUCUUCUAGUGUUGCAUCCAUCUUUCUAAAUAACAUACUUAAACUGCCAUUUUAAAAUGUUUGUUUUAUAGACAAUUCCUUGUCAUGUUAGGACAUGUCCUUUUAUCCAAGUCAACAAAUAUCCAUUUAUCUUUCUCCUAUUCUUUCUUUUCUUUUCUUUUCUUUCUUUUUUUUUUUUUUUUUUUUUAAGACAGAGUUUUACUCUGUCACCCAGGCUGGAGGGCAGUGGCACAAUCUCAGCUUACUGCAACCUCCACCUCCUGGGUUCAAGCGAUUCUUGUGCCUCAGCCUCCCGAGUAGCUGGGAUUACAGGCACCCACCACUAUGCCUGGCUAAUUUUUGUACUUUUAGUAGAGACGAGGUUUUACCAUGUUGGCCAGGCUGGUCUCAAACUCCUGGCCUCAAGUGAUCCACCUGCCUUGGCCUCCCAACGUGUUGGGAUUACAGGUGUAAGCCACCUCACCCAGCCCCAUUCUUUCAAUAUAGUUAAAUCAAUGAUUACAUUAUGAUGCUUUUGUAAAAUAUUCACUGCUGAACAAGUAGUUGUGGGACAAUUCUCCAAAGAAUUUGUACAUCUCAGACUAUCUUUUCCAGGAUGUUUGGGCAGCAAACAGCCUUAGAAGCUAAAGGUAGUGUCUUCCUUUUGCAGAGGGCAGAUUUGUUUAUUAAGACAGUGACUCCCUCUGGGAGAAAUUUAGAGGCAUGGUCCUCCAGCCAUAUUAAGGAAUACUAAGAUCUCCCCACUUCUCCCUCCCCAGAGAUUUCUUUGCUAACCAGAAAAAUAAAGAUAAUGUCUCCCUGUGGGGCAAAGAUUGGGUAGGCUUGCUAGUGGUCCCCUUAUAAGACUGGGGGUUUCCUAAGCAUAGCAUUUCUCAGCUAUGAGACAGAUGCACUGUGCGCUCAGCAUCCACCCAGGCCCACUCAACAUUGCUACCGCUCACCAAGUUCCCUCUUGGAACUUUCAGGGAAAGGGGAACUGUUAAGCCCAUGCUGCCUGCUGUGCCAUGGGUGCUAAAGGACCCACUGUUUCCUUACCGACUGGAUUUAUGGAGAUGUGGCAAGUCAGUCUAGAAGCUUCACUGUGUUUGGGAAUUGUUUGACCUCUUGAUUAAGCAGUAGUGAUCUGUGAUUAUAUUUUAUGUGUAAUAUUUUUCCUAGAGCAAAUAAUUGCCUCUUUUAUUAUUUGCAUUAUCCUAGCCACUUGAGGUUCAUCGGUAAACAGACCAAGUUUGUAACCCUCAUGGAGCUUACAUACUAAAGCGGGAGACAGACAAUGAAGAUAAACAAGUGUGAAGCAGAAGAAUUGCAGGGUUUCGAGUGAAGGGUUUGGCAUGAUCUGGCUGAAGUUAUAAAAGUAAUACUCUGCCUACUAUGUAGAGACUAGAUUACAGAGGAACAAGGAUGGAAACAGGGCCAAUGAGGAUGCUUCUGCAGGAAUCCAGGCAAGAAAAGAUGAUGGUUUAGACCAGAGUGGUGGCAAUGGAAGUGGUGAAAACAGCCAAAUGUUGAAUAUAUUUUGAAGACGAAACCAAAAGAAUUUUCCGAAAAUUGGUUGUAAGCAUUGAGAAGAGGAGUAAGGAUAACUGCAAAGUUUUUGUCCAAACUACUGGAAGGAUGGAGUUGCCAUCCACUGAAAUGGGAAGGCUUCUUUGCAUGUCAUUUAAGGAAAUUUGAUAAUUUUCUCAUAAGAGUUCUGUACCUCCUUUGUUAUUUUUAUUUCCUGGGUACUUUGUAUUUUCUGUUGAUAUUAAACUAUCAAUGUAUAUUUAAUAAUUAUGGUGAAAUGGACUUCAUUCUAUUUUAGCUUCAUCUUAUAUCUAGCAAUUUUCUUCAAGUUUCUUAUUGUUUAUAACUAAAUGUUGUGCCAAAACUUAAGUAUAAGUCUAACAAAACAUCUACAGAAUGUGUAUGUUGAAAAUUAUUAGAUACUAAUGAAAGAAAUUUUAAAAGACCUAAAGAAAUGGAAACAUUACAUUCAUGGAUCUGAAAACUUAACAUAAUAAAGAUCUCAUUCUCUUCUAUACUGAUGUAUAGAUUUAACACAGUUCCAAUUGAAAUCCCAGCAGAAUUCUUUUGGAAUUGAGAUUAGACAAGCUAAUCUCAAUCUAUAUAGAAAGGCAAAGAACCAGAAUAGUUAAAACAAUGUUGGAAAAGAAGAAUAAAGUUGGAGUAAUCACACUAUCUAAUUUCAAGACCUACUAUAAAGCUACAGGAAUCAAGACAGUAUGGUAUUCAUGAAGGGACAGACACAUAGUUCAAUAUAACAGAACACAGAAAUCAUAAAUAGACCCACAAAAAUAUACCAACUGAUUUUUGAGGAGAGUGCAAAAGCAGCUCAGUGGAGAAAGGAUAGUCUUUUCUACAAAAGAAGCUGGAACAAAAGAACAUCUGUAUACAAAAAUAAACAAACCUGAAAACCUUCUCAGUGCAAAAGACACUUUAAGACAAUGGAAAGACAAGCUACAGGCUGAAAUAAAAUAUUUGCAAUAUCCAACAAGGAGUUUUGUAUUCAGAAUAUAUAAAGAACUCUCAGCCGGGCGUGGUGGCUCAUGUCUAUAAUCCUGGCACUUUGGGAGGCCGAAGCGGGCGGAUCACUUCAGGUCAGGAGUUUGAGACUGGCCUGGCCAGCAUGGUGAAACCCCAUCUCUACUAAAAAUACAAAAAUUAGCUGGGCAUGGUGGCGGGCACCUGUAAUUCCAGCUAACUUGGGAGGCUGAGGCCGGAGAAUCGCUUGAACCCUGGAGGCAGAGGUUGCAGCAAGCUGAGACUGUGCCAUUGCACUCCAGCCUGGGCGACAAGAGCGAAACUCCAUCUCAAGAGAAAAAAAAAAAAAGAGCCCUCACAACUCAAGUGGAAGAAAACAAUCCAAUUAAAACUGGGCAAAAUACUUGAACAGACACUUCACCAAAGAUGAUAUAUAGAUGGCAAAUAAGAACAUGUUUAUUAUCAUCAACCAUUACAUAAAUGCAAAUUAAAAUCAUAAUGAGGAUAGCAUGGUGGCUCAUGUCUGUAAUCCCAACACUCUAGGAGGCCAAGGCGGGAGGAUCACUUGAGCCCAGGAGUUCAAGAUCAGCCUGGGCAAUAAAGUGAAAGCUCGUAUUUACAAAACUUUUAAAAAAAUUAGCCAGGAGUGGUGGCACUUGCUUGUGGUCUCAGCUACUCAGGGAGGUUCAGGUAGAAGAAUCGCUGGAGCCUGGGAGGUUGAGGCUGCAGUGAGCCGUGAUCAUACCACUGCACUCCAGCUUGGUGACAGAGGAGACUCUAUCUCAAAAAAACAAAAAAAAAAAAGUAAAAUCACAAUGAGAUACCUCUUCAUGCCUAUUAGAAUGGCCAAAAUCAAAAGUGCUGACAAUACCAAUUGCUAAUGAAAAUGCCGCAGCAAUUGGAAUUCUCAUCCAUUGCUAGUGGGAAGGCAAAAUGGUAUAAUCACCUUGAAAAACAGUUUGGCAGCUUUUUAUAUAAAGUUAAAUAUACACCUUCCAUGUGAUCCGGAAAUCACACUUGUGGAUAUUUCAGAGAAAUAAAAACUAGGUUCACAUGGAAAUCUG